ensembl:lncRNA
GCGUCUGUAUGGGCGGGCAGUGGGCACACGCGUGGGUGGGUGUGUGUGUCUGUGUUUGUAUUUGUGUGUCUGUGUUGGAAUGUGUGUGUGUGUGUGUGUGUGUUGGAAUGUGUGUGGUUGUGUUUGUGUCGGAAUGUGUUUGUGUGUGUGUGUGUCGGAAUGUCUGCGCGCGUGUGUAUCGGCGUUGGUGUCUGCGCGUGUGUGUCUCGGCGUGCGUGUGCGUGCGUGUGCGUGUGCUUGUGCGUGUGUGUGUGUGUGUGUACCAGUUCCUGGGUCGAUGGCUGUUUGUUUCUCCGGUUCUUCGAUGCGUCUCCUCCGUUUAAAGUCUCAUAGAAGGUAAAUCAGGGAAGGAGGGGCGCCUGCCACUGGCUCUGCCUGAGUGACUGAUCCGGGCGCGUCACUCACACGGCCCAGCUGGGCUCAACAUCUGGCAGCACGACCGAGCAGAUGGUUCAUUACCCAGCGCUCCUCCUCGGCGCUUCAGCUCCUCCUCGUAGCUCCUGGAGUCUGGUGCUCCAGAGGCUCCCCUGGAGGAGGUGUCCAGAGGCUCUCCUGGAGUCUGGUGCUCCAGAGGCUCUCCUGGAGGAGGUGUUCAGAGGGCCUAGAGGAGGUGUUCAGAGGGCCUAGAGGAGUUGUUCAGAGCGUCUUUUGGGGGGUUCUGGGGCGUUUGCUGCCUGCUGAACCCCGGCUGACUUCAGCGUCUGUACUUAAUGUACUGGGUUAAGGGGUACAUCUUGCUCAGGAGUGCCUACUAUAUCUGUGCACUGGGGAUCAAACCCAGAACCUUCCCACUGGGAAUCCGACCCCUAACCACUACACUGCGGCCACUGAGUACAAAAAACCAACAUCGUAGUGUUCAUCCCUGAAACGUGGCUCCGAAACGUGUUGACUCAUUUUCCCUCAAUCAUUUAUGCAAAUAAUUGC